rnacentral:lncRNA from 1 species
UUCCGCGGAGCCGGGCAGAGGUUUUAGGGGUGCGCGGGAGUCAAGUGGUGGUUCAGUGGGGACGGAAUGAUUAACAAAGGCGUCCGAAGAAAUCGUUGUUGGAAGGUGGCCAAAGUGGAAAGAGAGGUUGCUUUGGCCCUGCAAGUAAGAAGAGAGAAGGAAUAGCCUGAAGGAGUAACACUAAAUUUAAAAUGACACUUUUUUACCAACCAGCGAAAGCAGAUGUUCAAAGGGGAUAUUGGCCAGGUGCGGUCGCUCACGCCUUUAAUCCCAGCACUUUGGGGGCAGACGCGGGGAGAUAGCGUGAUUCUAGGAGUCCAACCCCGGCCUGGGCAACAUGCGGAGACCCCGUACCGUCUCUACAAAAACAUUAAACAAAAAAAUUAGCUGGGCAUGGUGGUGUACCCCUGUAGUUGCAGCUACACUAGAGGCUGAGGUGGGAGGAUCUCUGAGCCCGGGAUGUUGAGGCUGCAGUGAGCCUCGAUCCUACCACUGUGCUCCAGCCUGGGCGACAGCAAGCCCGUGUCUCAGAAAAGGCGGGAGGGGUGGGAUAUUAUUGAUGAUAGGCCUUCUGACGUCUGGCAAUAGAUUACAGAGUAACAUCGGUCAUGGAUAAAUUUUUUUUUUAACUAAGUGACUGAAACCAAAGUUAAUUGUCUUUUGAGUGAUUUUGCACAGUAUCUCAAAAUGAACUGUACUUUUUUUCUUGUGUCACUGAAACACUGCUGUGUGUUCUUUUUCAGAGUCUGUCACACUAAGAUGAGAAAUAUCCUUUCUUCCUGAAGGUGUCUGAUGUGUAAAAAUACUGAUAUACUUUGUGCUGUU